rnacentral:rRNA from 1 species
AAACCAACAGGGAUUGCCCUAGUAACGGCGAGUGAAGCGGCAACAGCUCAAAUUUGAAAUCUGGCCCUAGUGGUCCGAGUUGUAAUUUGUAGAGGAUGCUUUGGGUUAGGUGCCUUCUGAGUUCCCUGGAACGGGACGCCAGAGAGGGUGAGAGCCCCGUACGGUUGGCCACCAAGCCUAUAUAUAGCUCCUUCGACGAGUCGAGUAGUUUGGGAAUGCUGCUCUAAAUGGGAGGUAUAUUUCUUCUAAAGCUAAAUACCGGCCAGAGACCGAUAGCGCACAAGUAGAGUGAUCGAAAGAUGAAAAGCACUUUGAAAAGAGGGUUAAAUAGCACGUGAAAUUGUUGAAAGGGAAGCGUUUGCGACCAGACCUUCUCCAGGCGGAUCAUCCGGGGUUCUCCCCGGUGCACUUCGCCUGGUUUAGGCCAGCAUCGGUUCUCUUAGGGGGAUAAAGGCCUGGGGAACGUAGCUCUUUCGGGAGUGUUAUAGCCCCUGGCGUAAUACCCUUCAGGGGACCGAGGACCGCGCUUCGGCUAGGAUGCUGGCGUAAUGGUCGUCAACGAC